rnacentral:lncRNA from 1 species
GCAAAAUAUCCCGGAACUUGCUUUUGAGAGUGUUAAGCAACAGCUGUUAAAGAAGAUCAAUGAGGUGAGGAGGUCCAUCAGAGCAUAUACACACUUUUACAACUGAAGCAGAAGAAAAUUUUAUCGAUAGUCAUUUGCCAUCUUGAACCACCAGAUGUAAUUUGAAGUACAUAGCCACUCUUGAGUGAUCCAUUUUUUCAAGGAAAAAAAUAGGAAGUAAUCUCUUUAUAUAAGAGAUUACACCCAAUUAAAAUAAAUAAAUAAAUUCUCUUUAUUUCCUGAUCAAAAUACAAAUAAGACUAGUUAGAAAACUUUUGCUACAUUUAUAAGACCCCGAAAUGAAAUAAAUAUAAUUGAAAGCCUGCUCCUAAUAGUAACUAUGAAAUCUAGAUUCCAAAGGUUAGAGUAAACAUUAAACUCGUUAGCUACAAUGACGCAAUACCACAAGUGAAUGACUAUGAAGAUUGUCGAUCCCACAAGGGUUGGUCUACUUAUGUCCAAUGCUCGGCUCUUGAUCUUCACUUCAAUGCAUUAUUCUCGUUCUGCCCAUUUCACUAAUGUAACUCUAGUUUGGAGAUUUCGACCUACAAAGAUAAAAAUGAACAAAAAUCAAUAAUAAAAGGUUAAAACACACUCGAACUAUUAACAAAAGAUUUACUUAGAGGUCAAGAUACGUGUAAGAAUUACUGUUACUAGAAGACAUCAGCUGGAUAAGAGCAGUCUAGAACCUCCUCUUUCCCAAUCACAGUCUGGGUAAAUUCUUCGGGAGACUCGUUGGGGUAUCAUUCCCAUAAAUCUGUCCAAAAAUCUUCAAUACGCACAUUCAUCAAAAGUGGAAAUUAUUCGUUACUGGUUAUGUACAAGGGGAAUUGAAGUGGAAUUGUAUGAACUAUAUCAGUCUCUUAAAGUAAAUAUUCUAAUGUAUAUUUGACCUCAACUUAGAUUAAUACUGAUCAUGCAAUUGACUGAAGUUAGACAUUUGAAGACAGCUUGGAAGACUUUCGACCAGGGGCGAAUCUAGCAUUAACGUUCAGUUAGGGCGGAGGUUGACUUUGACCGUUGACCAUCGACAAUCAAUGAUCGUAAAAGCCCGAUCCGGUUGGCGACCGAUCGUUUAUUAAAAUUUGAUUAGAUAAUAUUAAAAAUUAUUCAAUAUAUAUGUAAAUGUACUAAAAUAUAGAAAUUAUAUACUUAUGAAAAUAUAGUUCGUUUCAAAAUAGACUUUCGUUUCGGUUGAAAAAAUCGUUCCAUAAUUUGCAAAAUGUCCCAAUUUAAUUUUCAAUUACAAUUGAUUAAAAAAUCAAAAAUUCAACAUUCAAGUUUGGAUGGAGCAUAUCAAAUAAUACAAUGUGAAAGCAUUCUAAAACAAUUACUGAUAAACAAUACGGUUUUGUUUUGAGUUUCAGUUCUGGACAUGACUACAUAGUAGAAUGGAUAAGCCAUAAAUUAGUAUCUAUUCUCGAAUGUUUUUGAUAAUGGAAAUAUCAUUGUUUCUUUUAGUUAUUGAUCACUACUAUGAUCUAAUGUUGCACUUAAACAAUAAAACUAUAUUUGUGUUGGAGGAUGAAGUCGUGUUUUAGAUUAAUAAGGUCUAAAGCAAUGUUUAUUUAUGAUUGAUGAGAUGGGAAAUCGUUGCUUCGUUAAGUAUUAGAUUGUUUUAUGAAAUCAAUAAGUAAAUAUUCUAGUGUUUCCAGCAGCAUGAAAUUGAGGCUUCGAAAUUGGAUGCCAAUAACAAAUAUAAAAUCCUCUUCAAUUGAAUAAAAUGGUAAGCAUAAAGCAUGUUAACAUUAAUACCGAUUAUCAAACAUUCUAGUACAAUUUUCAAUAUUGUAGACAUUUAUAAAAUUCAUGGCUUUCUAACAUAGCCGAGGGAAUUUUCUAACUUAAUUGAAAUUUAUUUUAGAGAGAGUGAACUCAUCCAAUCUAGCAUAAGAUAUUAGGACUCCAAAGUGGCAUCUUCAUUGCUAAUUUGCUAUUAUUAUUCAAAGGUCAGCUGAAUUUUCACAAUGUAAGGCUUGUACUAGCUCUUGGAAAGAGAAGUUGAGUGUGUCUUCUGUCCUAAACUAAUCAAUAGUGCUUGGUUGCAAUGGCUGAAAUCUAUUCUAACCAUAUGUGAACUAGUAAACUGGUUGGCAUUUUUUAUGUCUUCUAAUGAAAAAUAUAUAAUCCCAUUUAGUAUAUUUUCCUGGCCCUCUUACUUUUCACCUCUCAAUAUCUACUUUCUUGAAAUGAAUAGGCAGAUACUCUACAUUCUGGCAAAUGGUUCAACCAGAAUCAUAUUCCAAUAGCCUCUUGCACAAAUCUUUUGCUUUCUAUCACCAAAAGUGACAACCAAAGCACAAGUAAAUCAAAAGAUAUCUCUCUUAAAUUCACUCGGCAACCUUAAUUGCAUAUCCUCUGUCUUCAAAUCAUCUUCAGCAAUAAACAUAUUAUAAAGUUUCUUUCAGUAAAUUGAACAUAUAAGCCUCCCAUAUUUUACUAAGUAGAUAGAAACAGUUACUAAUCAACUCAUAAAAUUCACAAAUCACAAUUCGUACCUCCAGUGGGUUCACCGUUCACGCUGGCACGUUGCUACUAGCUCAAUCAACAAUCAAUGAACUGCCCAAAAUCAGUUUGACAGAAAGGAAUUGGAGGAAGAAUUCAUGAAGGGUUUGCUCUUCUUUGAUCUCUCUUCUCUGAUUGCUGAUUUUGACGGGAACGGGAAGGAAAUGAAGAUUUGGGGGAAACUAGAAAUGGGAAAAUGGUUUUUUAACCAUAUGGAUAUGGUCUAUAAUGGGUGAAUGGUGAUUUGGGCUUGCCUAAUUUUAUUUUAUUUUUGAAGGAAAAAAAAAGGCCCAACAGCAAACAGGCAACAGCAUCACAGAUUCAUCACAGCCUGCCAGACCGGUGCCAGGUUCCGACGAAUUCAGCUAGGGCGGCCACCCUAGCUGGCCACCACCUGCAUCCGGCACUGCUUUCGACCCCAUCGUUUAGUGUAAAGUAGUUUACAGAAUAAUUACUAAGAGUAAUCGUCUCAAGCUAGUCUUGCAAGGUAUUAUUUCUCCAUUCCAGAGUGUGUUUGUUCCUAGUAGGCUGAUUAGGGAUAAUGUCAUUGCUGCAUUCGAACUGGUGCAUUCAUUGAAAAUGAGGAGAAAUGGAUAGAUGGGGUACAUAGCCAUGAAGUUCGUAUCAGCAUGGCCUAAAAUAGGGUAAAAUGGAAUGUCAUUCUGGGUGUGAUGGGAAAAAAGGCUUCUCAUAAUGGUGGAGAAGUCUGGUUCAGAGAUGCAUAUCUAUGUAUACUUCGUCUUUCUUAUGAAUGGUACCCCAAAGGCAGGUACUGCCUGCUUUUUCCAUGUCUAUUUUCCUUCAUACAGAGACGAAAGUAGAAUUACAGAUUAGGGGUUUCAGUUGCUCCCGCCAUAGCCUACGAAUCAGUCACCUCUUUUUCGCCGAUGAUGGUAUAGUCUUUUGUUGAGAAAUCCCAUAUGAUUUUGUGAGUUUAAAAAUGUUAUUGAAACUUACUAGGCAAACAUUAUAUACGCGUGUUAGAGAGAGAAGCUCUCAUCCUAGUGAGAAAAUCCCACUUGCCUGAGAGAUUUGUGUUCAAUGUUCAAAGUUUGAUUU